rnacentral:pre_miRNA from 1 species
GAACUACUCCCUCCGUUCGAAAUUACUUGUCGCAAAAAUGGAUGUAUCUAGAUGUAUUUUAGUUCUAGAUACAUCCAUUUUCAAGACAAGUAAUUCCGAACGGAGGGAGUAGUUC